UACGAAGGGAGCUAGCGUUGUUCGGAAUCACUGGGCGUAAAGCGCACGUAGGCGGAUUUGUCAGUCAGGGGUGAAAUCCCGGGGCUCAACCUCGGAACUGCCUUUGAUACAGCAAGUCUUGAGUUCGAGAGAGGUGGGUGGAAUUCCUAGUGUAGAGGUGAAAUUCGUAGAUAUUAGGAAGAACACCGGUGGCGAAGGCGGCUCUCUGGGCCGAUACUGACGCUGAGGAGCGAAAGCGUGGGGAGCAAACAGG
rnacentral:rRNA from 1 species